GGAAGGUUCCGCUGCGUUGGGCUGGCGAGCGGUCUUGAAAACCGUGGUGCGGGAAACCGCAGGGGUUCGACUCCUCAACCUUCCGCCA
rnacentral:tRNA from 1 species